AGUUGAUCAUGGCUCAGGAUGAACGCUAGCGACAGGCUUAACACAUGCAAGUCGAGGGGCAGCACGGGAGUAGCAAUACAACUGGUGGCGACCGGCGCACGGGUGAGUAACACGUGGGCAACCUGCCUCAUAGAGAGGAAUAGCCUUCCGAAAGGGAGAUUAAUACCUCAUAACAUUGCAGUUUCGCAUGGAACAGCAAUUAAAGGAGUAAUCCGCUAUGAGAUGGGCCCGCGGCGCAUUAGCUAGUUGGUGAGGUAACGGCUCACCAAGGCGACGAUGCGUAGCCGACCUGAGAGGGUGAUCGGCCACAUUGGGACUGAGACACGGCCCAGACUCCUACGGGAGGCAGCAGUGGGGAAUAUUGCACAAUGGGGGAAACCCUGAUGCCAGCAACGCCGCGUGAGUGAUGACGGCCUUCGGGUUGUAAAGCUCUGUCUUCAGGGACGAUAAUGACGGUACCUGAGGAGGAAGCCACGGCUAACUACGUGCCAGCCGCCGC
rnacentral:rRNA from 1 species